GUGCUCAUUUCGGCAGCACAAACUGAAAUGCUCCAGAGAAGAUUAGCAUGGCCCUUGCGCAAGGAUGACAUGCACAUUUGUGAAGUGUUCCAUAUUUUU
rnacentral:snRNA from 1 species